rnacentral:rRNA from 1 species
GAUGAACGCUGGCGGCGUGCCUAAUACAUGCAAGUCGAGCGAAGCGGGGAUGGGUGUGCAACACGUGGUUGACCUCCUAUAUGUCUGGGGCAACUUCGGGAAACCUGAGGUACUCCGGCUACUUCUAGAUGGAUCCGGGCUUCAUUAGUUAGUUGGUCAGGGAACGGCUUACCAAGGCAACGAUGCAUAGCCGACCUGAGAGGGUGAUCGGCGCCACUGGAACGGAGACACGGUCCAGAGUCCUACGGGAGGUAGCAGUGGGGAAUCGUCCACAAUGGGCGAAAGCCUGACGGAGCAACGCCGCGUGAGUGAUGAAGGUAUUCGGAUCGUAAAACUCUGUUAUUAGGGAGGCGGUACCUUUUCAGAAUGCCACGGCUAACGACGUGCCAGCAGCCGCGGUAAUAC